CUCAGUAUACAAGUAGAAAACCUAGCUGAAAUUCGCAGAUGACGCGUAACGUUGUUUUUUGCUCAAGCGAAUGAGGCUCCGGCGAGGGUGAUGAGGUUUCUGUCAGAGCAACUCCUCUUGCCAUUUGAUCCUCCGAUCAAGUAUUAGCCGAUGAUUUCGACGCCGAUUCACCACCAACUACUCUACCUUUGUAUCUCUCUCUCUCUCUCUAUAUAUAUAUAUCAAUACAUUCAUACACGCAAACAUACAUACUCUCUCUCUCUCUCUCUCUCUCUGAGGGCAUUCGCAUAAUUUUUAGUGGUGUUGUUGUUGCUGUUGAUUUGUACUUCCGAUGGACGAGGCGGUGACGAUGAAAUGUAGCCUGAGCAAAUUCGGAGUUUUGGAGACCUGAUCUGUAUCUUGGCUGGGCAAUCCGGAAGGCAAUUUUUGUUGUUUGGAGUUUUCUCUCUCUAAAUUGACAUGCACAUUGCAACUGCGAUUGCAGCCAUGACGGAUUUAGGCAAAACAAACUCCUUUACAACAAAUCUGAGCCUCCGUUUUACUCUCGCAUGAAGCUUUUCGAUUUAGGUACUUUUAGCGUUAUUCGAUCCAUAUUUUUAACAAGGAUUUUUGUCCACUUUUUGAUUAUGUCAAUUUAUUAACUUAGAUUACUGUUUGUUAAAUUUUUUACAAUAAGUUAUAUUUUUACAUCGAAAUAUCUCUAUUUUUUACUAAAAAGCAAUAGUAAUGGAAGCAAAGUAGUUUCAAGUUUAAGUGAUUGAAUAGCGUCGUUAACAUAUUGCAGUUCUAAUAUAAAUAUUUCAUCAAGUGGAAUACAAGUACGUCAAAUUUUUACAAUAAAAAUUAUAUAUAUCAUAUUUUUAUAAUUUAUUAUUUUAUUUAUCAUUGAUUUAAGAGGGCAUAUGUAGGGAAUGCAUUUUUCAGCACAUAUAAUUUUGGGAUCAAUUGUUGUCUUAAAGAUAAUCUAUUAGUAUGCCCUUUUAACUAAUCUAUAUAUCAAUUAAAAGCUUGGUUUUGUAGAAGCAAAGACUACAAUGUUUACAUUGAUUUUAAUAAGGCGUUUCAGUUUCCAGAGAUUACAACAGAUAUUGACUUAAUGGGACAAGCCAAAAAGUUAAUGAAUAUUGUUAAAUGUUGUUUGUUUGAAUGGAUGUGGAUUGAUGAUUAUUUAGAGGGUGUUUGGCUAAGCUUAUUUAAAAAUGCUUUUAACUUUUUAAGUUAUAUAGGAGGCAAUGACAGGAGCAGCAACAAUUGAUAGAAUGGAGGUGUAUGUGAUAUGUGUUACUGUAAAAUGUUUAUCAGGUUAAGGGGUAUAUUGGUCAAUUCCUUUAAAUGGUUUUGAUAAGCAAGGAUAUCCAACUUAUCAAAAGACUUGUUAUUAAACAAGUUCUUAACCUUGUUUAGAUGGUUUAUUCAGUAUAACAGAAAACUGCAAAUAUUAUUUGUUGAUAGUGGGAUUUGAACCAACGACCUUUGGGACCAGAACCAAAAUCUGGCGCCUUUGACCAACUUGGUCAUCUCAACAUUUGGUUUGUUCAUUGUUGAUGUAAAGCAAAAUCGGAAUCUUUUGAUCUAAUUCGUAUCUUGGCUGGGCAAUCCAAAUGAUAUGUACUUGUGUCUAGAAGUUUCUUUUCCAAAGGUAACACAACUUUGAUUGCAGCCAUGGCGGAUUUUUGGCAAUUGAAUUCCUUAGUUUACAACAGAACUAUGCCUUGGCAUUUAUUACAGCAUCUUAUUUUCAUUUCUUCUUAUUACAACAUUGUACUUUGAAAAAUCUAUCCAAUUAUAGCAAUGGUGGUGGUGGUGGUGAUAUCGGUAGUAUAUUGUACUUUGAAAAAUCAAUGGUGGUGGUGGUGGUGGUGUUGAUAUCAGUAGUAUAUCAAUGGAAAUUUGUUUAUUUGGCUGUGAUGAUUUGUCUUCUUGAGUUAAAGUUGAAACGGCAUGGAUGAUUGGAUUUUUAUCAUGGCAUGGCAUGGCAUUAUCCAGAUGGCAGAGCGGGAGGGAUUUGAUUUUCCCUCACUUUGCAACUGUGUAUGUUUGCAACCAUAUGAUAGAGACCCCAUCUUCUUUGCCUUGAGACCCAAUUACAUAUCUGAGCCUAAUAAUUUUCUUUGUUUUUCA
rnacentral:lncRNA from 1 species